ACAAACUUGGUCAUUUAGAGGAAGUAAAAGUCGUAACAAGGUUUCCGUAGGUGAACCUGCGGAAGGAUCAUUACUGAGUGAGGGUCUUCACGGCCCGACCUCCAACCCUUUGUGUAUUGACUCUGUUGCUUCGGCGGCGCGGGCCUCUGGCCGGCCGCCGACAGCCUCCACAAACUCUGUACCAAAUUGUCUAAAUAUUGUAUCUUUAAUACAAGCAAAACUUUCAACAACGGAUCUCUUGGUUCUGGCAUCGAUGAAGAACGCAGC
rnacentral:misc_RNA from 1 species